GCCCCCUCGGCUGUACUGCUGGGGAACUGAGCCUGUACAUGGAACUGCCUGGAGGGGAUUGGUCAUGGGGCCAGUCCGAGCCCUGCGACCGCACCCACUGGCAGCUGCCUCCCUGGCUGGACUCCAAGGACUGGUAGCAGCAGUGGGGCUGUGUGGCCCCCAAGCAGAGACAUGGGAGAGCUCUGUCCACCAAGACGAACCCUGGAUCUGCUGAGUCAGCCCUUAGCCUGUAGCAGGGGCUCUCAAACGUUCAUACUGGUGACCCCUUUCACGCAGCAAGUCUCUGAGUGCGACCCCCCCUUGUAAAUUACAAACACUUUUGAAUAUAUUUAACACCAUUAUAAAUGCUGGAUGCAAAGCAGGGUUUGGGGUGGAGGCUGACAGCUCACAACCCCCCAUGUAGUAACCUUGUGACCUGAGAGGUCCCGACCCCCAGUUUGAGAACCCCUGGCCUACAGCACCAGCUGGGCACUGCUCAGUGUGUGCUGGCCACAUGAGCUGGAACCUUGGGCCACAGCGUUUACUUAGUACCUUUUAUUGACCUUCUGGCUUUUACCAGGCUGUGUGAUCUGGGGGGGGCAAAGGGCUGAGGGCCCCCCUUUGUCACUGCUACGGCAGUGCUACCCCUUAGCAGCACCCUCCCCUGUCCCUCCCAGCCUGGGGCCCAGCAGAGACUGCUGAGUUCAUGUAGCAGGAGUUCCCCUGAUGGAGCCUUUCCUCGCUUAGGCAGGGGAAGCCCAGCUUUGCAGGGGGCUAGGAGAGUUCGGGAAAGAUGCUGCUCCCCAGACCUUGUUUCUGCUCUUAACCCCCCCACACUCCCAGUUGGGAACUGGUGCCAUCCCCAGAGCCUGUGUCCUGGGUACUCUGUCAUUCUGCAGCUUGCUUUUCCAGUCUCGGCUCUCUUCUCUGACUGCUGCCGAGAUGCCCCACUGAGGGCAUCACUGAGUUGCACUGUGUUGGGUGCUGUCUGCAGCCUGGACUCCUGGUCAUAAGGAUCCUAUCUGUCUGAAUCCUGGCUGCUCUUUCUUUGAUCUGCAGAAUGACUGAUGCUUUUCAGCCAUCAGUUGUAGGUAAAGAAUCUAAAGAAUAUCUAAGUAUAAUCUAACGUUCUCCUGUGAAAUGCGGGCUGUGCAAACCCUUCCGUGGCUGGAUCAUUCUUG